CUGCACAUGGCAGCGAGACGCCAGGAGUGGGAGCGGGGAUGUCUCAAGGGUCACUGUGGGGCUGGCGGCCACAAAACCUCGGGUUUGGGGACUGGGUGGAAGAAACAGGACAGCAGAAGUUCAGGCUAGCUUGCAAGACAGUGGCUUUCAACCUUUUUGUUUGUUUUGCAGAUUCUUCAAUAUUUGCCAACAAUGGUAUUUGGC